CCACUUCCCUUUCUGCGAGGCCGCUUCAGGCGGAGCCGGCACCGCGACUCCCAGAGGCCUCCCGGCCCGGAGGCCACGCCCCCUGCCGCGAACGCCCAGAGCCCGGUCCUCUGCCGGACCGAGUCCAGCCGCAGCCAGGAGCCUCGAGCGGUUGGCUAAGGGGCCGUGUGGCCGACCGAGGCUGGGCUGCCGUCUCUCCAGCAGCCCUGCGACCGGGACAGGAAGAGAGGAAGGCGCCUCGUGAGAACGCGAAGACAGAGGGCGCCCCGGCGGGUCUCUGCCCAGACUGCCACCCAGAGCCUCGGGAGGUCGGGAGAAUUGAAAGUGCAGGCAAAGCCACCAGCGGCGGGUGCCGAGGAAGGAGGGGGUCGUUUCAGGCUGUGGAACGGAAGCAGGUCUGUUGAGGAGGGAACCCGAGCCUUGCUGACGGUGCCCGAGACCAAGCCCCGGCCUUGAGCGGCCUUCACUCUCCGCCUGCGCUGAGCACCUGGUGUGGGCUGCGGCCCAAGACAAACUGACCGGACAGACCCCUGCUGUCGUGGAACUCGGCUUCUCUUAAAAUGGCCGAGAGCCCACAGAGAGCCACCGGCCUCCGCAGACUGCAGACGUAGACAGGCAUCGCUUUUGAGAGCAGCCAGGGAAGCCCCCAGCUUAUCAGAUUGUUCGUGCCCGUCCUUGGGUUCGGGUGGAGCCGGAAGGAGACGGGAUAAGCUUUUAGACUGGGGACCCAGAGGCCUACCAGCUUCUCGUGGAGCGCCCAGGUAUUUACUCUGGCUAGACCUGUUCCGCUUCAUCGUUGCCUCGACCAUCAGCCGAUGACACUUGGGGCACUGUCCUCUGACCCCCUCCAGAUCCCGCCCUCCUUUAACCUCGGAAAAUCUUGUCGGUGCCCCUAGACGUUCUUCAAACUCAGCAAAUUCCACCUGAACCCAGCUCUUCUGCAGGACCUGCACCUCCUGUCGUGUUCUGGAUCCCUGAGAGCACCAUGGCUGUCCUCCACCGCCCAGGGCGGAUGCCUGACGCUCAAGGAGGUACCUCCUUGCCCUUCCGCCGCACCAUUAUUUACCGGAUGCCUACUCUUUGUCAGGCAUGAUUCCAGUUGCUGGAGAUGAAGUUUCUUCUCGAGCGUACACUUUUAGCAGGAAACCAGACAAAAAAUGAUGAUACGGCAGAGGCAGUGUGUCUGUGCCAAGAAGAAAAGUAAGUUCCAGGAGUGCCAUCCUGAACUUGGAAUGUGUAGCCUUCAGAGGUAGUUCCUGGCACAGCAUUAGAAUCUGAAGACGUGUUCAUUUCUCGUGUCUUCAUUUCCAGCGGGGCAGGAGAGUGUCUGGGAGCCUAAUCUCCAUCGGAUGUGCAGCCCCCCGCUGUCCAGGGAUUCCUUUUCACUUCCAUAUUUUUAUUUUGAAACUCAGGCCGUAUAUUCAUAUCUUCUGCUACAAUCUUACAUUCAUCUGCGACUUUCAAGUUACAUUUGUGCUGUAAGCAGAGGGACAGCAUUAAGCACGAAGCAUGCAGCUGGAUGCACAGUCCUGUUUCACUGUCUAGCGUCCCACAAAGACUCCAGACGUGUGCAGUCUGUUUGCACUGAGAUGCUUUCAAUGUCAACACAUUGUAGUUUUCAUUUGAUAUAUAUUUCAAUAUUUACAAAUAUCUUUGUGGGUGAAGUGCCUGAUUGCAUUUAAUCUUGAACCUCAUGGGGUAUCUGGAUGUGUUUUUAAUGGAGGUUUUAGAACAGACAUCAGAAUAUCCCUUCUGCUCAUUCAUUUUUCCUUGAAAUCACACACAAAAAAAUAUGUGUCUAUACCUUUUACACAGUGCUAAAGAAGCUUAUCAAAUCUGAUUUCACACAAGGGGCAUUUUUGCACAUGAAGAUUAUGAGUGCGGAAGGCACCAAUCUGACACAAUCAUAUUUCGGGGAAAAUAAUGGUGUAUGCACUCUUGUAUAACUUGCCAUACUUGCUCCCUUAUUACAUCCCUGGUCACGAGCAUUUUUUACAUCAACUCCCUUUCCAACCUCUACUUUCCUACGCUAGACCUAGGAGGCUUUUUCCUUCAUUUCGAUAAAGUCAGUAUACGUUAUUUUAUCAUUACGACAUUACUCUCCAUGCAAGCAGCCCUACAGUCUGACACUCGUUCACGGUGGGCACAAUCAGAGAGUAAGGAAAAGUAUUUGCAUCCAAUUGAUAGACGAUCUAGCGUGGUUUGCUUACAGCAUUACACAUUUGUUCUGUAUUUUAUUAGACAAGACAUAUGGACUUCCAGUAGUUUCUUGGGAUUCUCUCUAAGAUGCACAUUAUUUUUUGUUCAAAGUGUCAUAGCUAAAAUCAUUCAAAAUAUUCUGCCAUUUGAGGCACCUGGGUGGCUCAGCUGGUUAAGCGUCUGCCUUCGGCUC